ACGUAGGGAGCGAGCGUUGUCCGGAAUUACUGGGUGUAAAGGGUGCGUAGGCGGCCGAGCAAGUCAGUUGUGAAAACUAUGGGCUUAACCCAUAACGUGCAAUUGAAACUGUCCGGCUUGAGUGCAGUAGAGGUAGGCGGAAUUCCCGGUGUAGCGGUGAAAUGCGUAGAGAUCGGGAGGAACACCAGUGGCGAAGGCGGCCUACUGGGCUUUAACUGACGCUGAGGCACGAAAGCGUGGGGAGCAAACAG
rnacentral:rRNA from 1 species